rnacentral:lncRNA from 1 species
UCUUGCAUGACCCAAAAACUGUGUUUGACCAGAAAAUUCUUCUCUUGUCUUCAUUUCCAGCCGAGAGACUACAGACAAAGCUAUAGGAAUUUUCCUUUUCUAGCUCCCUCUUCCAAUCGAGAGAAACUAGAGAGAAAAAAAAAUGAGAAAAUCAAACUUUCUUGCUCCAUUUGCAGUUGAGAACCAAGGCUGAUUCAGCCACAAACUCCACAAAAGUUCCCUAUUUCUUCAACCUUCAACCGUGAGUGAGGGAGCCUUCCUCUUUCCUUCUUCCAGCCGUGAGUGUAGGGAAAAGGGAGAGGAAAUCUGGAGUCUUGUUUCCUGAUUCCAGCCAAGGGAAGUUGGAGUAAGUUGGGAGGAAAUCUGGUGUCUUGUGUCGGUGCUUCAACCAAGAGAAUCAGUGAGGAAAGAAAGGGAGGAAACUGACCGUAUUUCCAGCUUAGUAUUUUGUAGGAAGGAAGGUAAAACUUGUGAUAAAACCUCUCAUUUUUCAAUACUCUUAGCUAGAGGUGGCAAUUUGGAUUGAAAUCCAUUUAUCCAUCCAUAUAAUCCAUAAUUAAAUGGAUUUGGAUUAUCCAUUAUCCAUUUAUAGUGUUGGUUUUAAAUGGUUCAUCAAAGUAAAACCAUUAAAUUAAAUGGAUUUAUAUGGAUUAUCCACAUAAACCAUAUAUAUCCAUUUACUUAAAACCAAAUAAAAGAAAUGGACUUUCAGUCCCCAUUAAUCCCCCAAAUCAAAGGUUUGUUUAUCUUUCUUCAUUCUUCCUUGUCCAUACGCGUAUAGAUUCAAAAUUAUCAACAUCGCUCCUCCAACUUGAAAAAUGUUCUCGGCUACAUUUUUCAUUUCCUGUCAUGUGUUUUCUAGUGGUGGUUCAACGUGGGCAACAUUUCACUUUUGUGAGUUCCUUGCAGAGGCCGUAGCCUACGAAAAUCACAGGGCAAUCCUCAUAUUCGACAGUCAUGGAAGAGUUAACUCUAGCGCAACAGAUUUACCGUUGCUCCUGUGUUGGAACAAAAAUGUUGCAACGUUGAUUCGUAAAUGAUCACGCAAGGGAACAGAAAUCAACAUUGCUGUUUUACAAAUAUCGCGUCAUGGAAUUGCAGAGCUCUUAUAUAGUAUUAAUUAGUACUUUUGUUUAUCAAGAA